rnacentral:misc_RNA from 1 species
UACGGAGGGUGCGAGCGUUGUUCGGAAUCAUUGGGCGUAAAGCGCGCGCAGGCGGCUUUGCAAGUCUUGCGGUCAAAUGCCGGGGCUCAACCCCGAGCGCGCCCGAGAUACUGCGGAGCUGGAGACAGGCAGAGGCAAGUGGAAUUCCGGGUGUAGCGGUGGAAUGCGUAGAGAUCCGGAAGAACACCGGAGGCGAAGGCGGCUUGCUGGGCCUGGUCUGACGCUGAGGCGCGAAAGCGUGGGGAGCGAACAGG